GGGGCUGUAGCUCAGUUGGGAGAGCGCACGGUUCGCAUCCGUGAGGUCAGGGGUUCGACUCCCCUUAGCUCCAC
rnacentral:tRNA from 1 species